rnacentral:rRNA from 1 species
AACGAACGCUGGCGGCAGGCCUAACACAUGCAAGUCGAGCGAGGACUUCGGUUCUAGCGGCGGACGGGUGAGUAACGCGUGGGAAUGUGCCCUUCUCUACGGAAUAGCCCUGGGAAACUGGGAGUAAUACCGUAUACGCCCUUUUGGGGAAAGAUUUAUCGGAGAAGGAUCAGCCCGCGUUGGAUUAGGUAGUUGGUGGGGUAAUGGCCUACCAAGCCGACGAUCCAUAGCUGGUUUGAGAGGAUGAUCAGCCACACUGGGACUGAGACACGGCCCAGACUCCUACGGGAGGCAGCAGUGGGGAAUCUUAGACAAUGGGGGCAACGCUGAUCUAGCCAUGCCGCGUGAGUGAUGAAGGCCUUAGGGUUGUAAAGCUCUUUCAGCUGGGAAGAUAAUGACGGUACCAGAAGAAGAAGCCCCGGCUAACUCCGUG